CGCUGGGGGAAAGAAGCGCUUCUGAAGCCCGGUCCGUGAAAGAACGAGACGGAUGAUGGAUGCUCUCCGGAAAAGGCGGCGUCACGGACUGUUGACACUGUUCGCAAAGAAUCCAGAGGACUCAAAAGGGCUUGCGUAUUGUGGUCUCCUACAUUUGAUCUUCACAACAAUCCUGUAAG